rnacentral:rRNA from 1 species
AUUAUAAAACAACUUUCAACAACGGAUCUCUUGGCUCUCGCAUCGAUGAAGAACGCAGCGAAAUGCGAUAAGUAAUGUGAAUUGCAGAAUUCAGUGAAUCAUCGAAUCUUUGAACGCACCUUGCGCUCCUUGGUAUUCCGAGGAGCAUGCCUGUUUGAGUGUCAUGAA